GUUACGACUCCACGAAUGAGGACGACUCGCGUCAGCAGGCGCUGCGGCGGCGCGGGCGAGGGCGAGUACGCGUGCGCGGCAAGCGCGCGCUGGGGAGCGAGUGUGCGGAGCGGGAGCUCGGGUGCGCGCAGAAGCCGGAGCUCCCGUGCACGCGGCCGGGCAUCCAGGGCGGUGGGUCCUGCUUGCGACAGGCGGCGGCAUAGGGUCCCGACUGUGACGGAGGUGUUUGCACCAGACGAGGGCGGCGGCGGCGGCGGCGGCAGCAUCGCAGCAGCAGAGGGCGCGGAGAUGUGGCCCCUGGUGGUGCUGCUGCUGCUGAGCUCGGCUUGCUGCGGUUCAGCCCAGCUAACAUUUAAUCCAGUCAAAUCUAUAGAAUACACCACUUGCAAUGAAACUGUCGUCAUCCCAUGCUUUGUUACUAAUGUGGAGGCAGAUAGCCUUAGAGAAAUGUAUUUAAAGUGGAAAUUUGGAAAAGAUUGGAUUUUCAUCUAUGAUGGAGAUAGAGAUUUUUCCAACCACAGCCGUGGCUACAGCAGUGCCAACAUCGUGAAAUUUGCAUUGCUAAAGGGCAUUGCAUCUUUGAGGAUGAACAAGAAGGAUGCUGUCCCAGGAAACUACACUUGUGAAGUAACAGAAUUAAGCAGAGAAGGUGAAACCUACAUAGAACUGAAAUAUCGUGAAGUUUCAUGGUUUUCUACAAAUGAAAAUAUUCUUAUCAUUAUUUUCCCAAUGCUGGCUGUGCUUCUCUUCUGGGGACAGUUUGGUAUUGUGACACUUAAAUAUAGUUCCAGUGUUCCGAAGGAGAAGUCCAUUUUUUUAUUUGUUGCCGGAAUAGUGCUCACUGCAUUUGUCAUCAUUGGAGCCAUCCUUUUGGUCCCAGGUGAAUAUUCAGCAAAGAAAGCCAGUGGACUUGGUUUAAUUGUGGUUCCUACAGUGAUAUUAAUAUUACUUCAGUACUCUAUGUUUAUGAUAAGUCCAGCUGUUGGGCUGUCCUCCUUCAGCAUUGCCAUACUGGUCAUUCAGCUGCUGGGCUUUGUGCUCUCUGUGGUUGGACUAAGCCUUUGUGUCUCAGCAUGUUCCCCAGUGCACGGCCCUCUUCUGAUUUCAGGUUUGGGUGUUGUAGCUUUAGCAGAGUUACUUGGACUAGUUUAUAUGAAAUUCAAUGAGUUCAGAGGCACACCUUCCCUCAGUUGAAGGGCGAGAAGAGAAAAGCUUCUGAUCAGAGGACUAUACAACCUCCUAGGAAAGCUGUAGAGGAACCCCUUAAUGCAUUUAAAGAAUCAAAGGGAAUGAUGAAUGAUGAGUAGCUGAAUUGAAGUGAUGGACUCAGAUUUGGAGAGUAGUAAGACAUGAAAAGAAUGCACUCGUGUUUAAGCACCACGGCCUUGAUUCGCUCACUCUGCAAGAGAAGAUGACUUUCAUCUUUAAUAAAAAGUAAAUCAUUGACUUUUGAGUGGUUACUCCAGUUAAGUUUUUAUUCAAAGCAUUUGUGAUUUAGUUAAUAAAAGAAUUAUGAUGUGUCGUGUGCCCAAUUGAGAUCCAAGUUUUAAUUUUUUAUUUUUCUUUAAUUAGGGGCAAAAGUAGACUGGGCAACUUCCAAGAAUGAUGACUUUCAGAUCCUAGGACCUUUUGACUCUAGGUCACCAGUUUAAAUUGGUUCAACUUGAGAAUUACCUGGCAUUAAUCUUGUCGUUACCCAGAGAUAUUGCUGAAAAACAGGGGCUUCCAUCAGACUUCAGCAAACUCAGGUUUAUAGCCACAUUGGCAGUUACAGCGUUAGCUGAAUAAUGUGUCUGCCACUUCUGGAUCAAGGGAAUAGCAAAUUAAGUCCAGACAGGACUUGGGCUGGAAGCAUUUUGUGCCCUGCUGACGUGAAAUGUGCUGUUGAUGGAGAUUAUGCUCCUCAUUCUUGGGGGUUGCCAUUCACAUAUUCUUCAACGUACAAUGUAACAGAUCCUUUCCAGAUUUAGGGUAGUUUUAUUGAUGGAUGUCUUUUUCUUUUAUUCACACAACCCUUUAAACCCUGUCUUGUCCUCCUGUUGUUUGCUUCUGCUGUACAAGAUGUAGCACCUUUUCUCUUCUUUGAACAUGGUCCAGAGACAUGGUAGCAUCAUUGCAGAAAGGAGCCAGACUUGUUCUCAGAGAAUUAUGUUCACACUUGUCAGCAAAAAUAGCGAUGGUUGUAACAUAUGUAUUCCCUUCCUCGGAUUCGAAGGCACAAUCUACGGUGUUUCUUCACUUCUUUUCUGAUCUGGGGCAUGAAAAACCAAGGUUGAGGUUUUAACUAUGUGUCUCCUGCAUGGCAACAUACUGUGUGUCACUGUCAGGCCCAUGGGCCAGCCCUCGAGAGGGUGGUUUUAUUGCUGUUGUAUCUCUGUUGCAUGAUAAACACUCAUCAUCUUCCUCCUGUAGUCCUGCCUCGUAUCCCCCUGACUCUGAGAUUGAAAAAGAAAACAUAAACCCCCAUAUUUUUUACCCCAUUAGAAGAAAAUUAACAUUCUGACAGUUGUGAUUGCCUGGAGUACUUUUAGAUUAUUAGCACUCGUUUUUCUCCUUUGUGGGUGUGUGUUUCUGUGUGCACAUGUAUGAGGUGGGCACAUGCGUCUUCCGUGUGGACCGCAGUGGGGUACCUGCAGGAGAGCAAAUGCUAAUUCACGCUCUUAGCAAAACAUUGAAAAACAAAGAUCUUUGUUGGGUGGGAUUAUAUUUGACGCAAAUGUUUGGUCACGUAAAACUUUCAAAAUUUCUAGGGAAUUUGCCAAGUCUUUUGACUGCUCACCAAUCCUGUCUAAAAAUACUAGUGAUUCUUCCUGUUUGUGUAAUAAUAAGACAUUUAUAUUUGUAGUUGUGUUACAAAUAGUUAUUUCUUAGUCCACUAAAUGUCCCUGUGUGCCUCUUUUAUGCCAAAUUAAUUGUCAUUUUUCAUGUUGGGACCAAGUGGUUUGCCCAUGGCAAACCAAAAUUUAUGACCUGCUGAUGUCUCUCAGAAAAUUGAACACACUAUGAAGACAGUUCUUCUUGAAAACAACAACAAAAAAAUUUUUCCCUAAUUGUGUUGCUUUCCAAAAUAUUACCAUAUGUAGAGGGAGCUGUAUUCCUUUAUACAGAUCUCAUGGCUCCUGCUGCUCUUUUUUCUUCUGAAACUAUUUGUAUUUUAGUAAUAUCGUUUGUUACUUUGGAAAUCAAUUUUGAUGAAAGGAGGAAAAAAACCGAUGGACAUGAAAAAGAUCCAAAUUCCUAUUCUCUCUUAAGAAAAAGUCAGGUAUGAAAAUGUUUCUAGUAAACUUUUUAAUAAACUAACAUCAUACCUUUUAAUACGAAGUAAACUCUCCUUCAUUGGGGGCUCAGUCUUGGGACUUACCCGACCUCUGUGUUCUCUUUGAUGCUGCCUAUCCUUUGAGGCACUCACUGCCCUAGACAACGCAGCGAGGUAGCAGGAGAAAGGCCAGAUGAAAUCAACUCUUGCUCUUACUAGUUGUCAGCUGCCCCGGAAAAGGGGCCACAGCAGCAGCAACCCUCUUGCCUGGGCAUCAUUGGGCCAGUUCAUUCUCUUUCGAACAGACUUGUAAUGGCUCCCAAUUUUCUGUCACAUGUAAUGAAAAUUGCUAACAAUGCUUUGGGUAUCAUAUAUGUGUUCCUCCUAUAAUCUGAUUUUUACUCACUGAUGCGAUUUUUACCCUUGACUCUUUUGUUCAGUUUUAUUUAUUGCAUGUCCUCAGAGUGAUGCCAUUUGUCAUUUUUGCAACAACCUUAUCAACCUUUCUGGCCAAAUCAAGUUUCCCCUCUGCCUCGAAACAUCAUCCUCUAGCCCUUCCUUCCCCACGGGCUCCCCUUUGCAGUCUGUCCCCAUCUGCCUACCUGCCUCUUGCAUCCUCACUUGCCUUUCCCAGGACUUCAUGUGUCUCUGCUUAGCUCUCUCAGUUUGUCUUACUUUUCUCAGUUGAAAAUUCCUCCACAGCAAGAGCUUUUUUUUCCCCCUUCCUUUCUCUUCCUGCAGUGUUUUGCCUACAUUAGAUAUUCAGUAUAUGUUUGAUGAUUGAGAGCUGUAUGUAGAUUUUUCCACUGUUUUUUAAUAGGGUGAGCUAGAGAGUUUUCUUUUUUGACAAAUUUCACAUGCUGUGAAAACCUUCAAAGGCGAUGAUUUUUCACCUGGAAGCUCCAGCUUUAUUGUUUAAAUUUCUGAGGAUGUCAGAAUGAAAAUAUUGAGGCUGUCCCAUAAUUAGGAACAUUGCUUUUUUCAGGAUGCUGUAGUCAGUUUAGUAAGUGACCAAAUUGUGGUUUGACUAAUAAAGCUCAAAAGUGAUAAGUUUACACUUUCAUCUCAUUGGUAAGAAUUACGCUCUGUAUCACCGUCUAGAUUUCUCUCGUCCUAAAACGAGUGUUCAAAAAUGGACAUCUGUGGCGUUAUGUAUGGAAAUACAUACCCCUCUGUUUACCUGUCCUUGGAAACUAGAGAAAUUGUCGGGCAACCCUUAUCUUUUCAUUGUGUUUUAUUUGAUGGAGAGGAUGUUCGGAAACAGUUUUACAUGUGUCAUGUUUUCAAAAUCACUAACUGCCAUCAGCCACUGGGGUCCUUCAUCAAGUCAUUUUCCGUGGCUAAUAGGAACAGUCCAGGUAACUUUCAAGAGACGAGCAGUGAACAGGCAGUUUUCUUGUGUUUGGUUUUUGACAGCUCUUAUCAUUUAAGACCAGUUUUUCCAAAAUUUAGCCCUUUGAAAAAAAAGAGAGCAUUUGUAAUACGCUUCUCUGUAAGGCAACAUCAGUGGAAUCUUAGACAUGUUGUUAUCAGGGUAGAUGAGAGAGUGAAACGUUUUUGUUCUUACUAAAUGGAGAAUUAUUUACAAAAAGCCAUUGUUGGAAAUUAUAUCCCACACCAGAUGAAUAUCCAUUAACCAUUCUAAGUAAAGAGAACUCCAGUGUUGCUAUGUGCAAGAUCCUCGGUUGGAGGCUUUUUCCAUAGCAAUGAAAGGUGUGCUAUUUGUCGGUAGCCAUUUUUGCAGUGAUUUAAAGACCAAAGUUGUUUUACAGCUGUGUUACCGUUAAAAGUUUUUUUUUUUUAAAUAUGUAUUAAAUCAAUUUAUCACUGUUGAAGCUUUGAAUAUCUGCAAUCUUUGCCAAGGUAAUUUUUUAUUUAAAAACAUAACUUUGUAAAUAUUACCCUGUAAUAUUACAUAUACUUAAUAAAACAUUUUAAGCUA